GGUAUCCGAUCUGUCACUCGUGUUUGGGAGAGUAUCGAUUUUUGACCAGUGUUCAGUUGGAUACUGUUCAUGCCACGAGUGGAAUAUGUAUCUUGGUGUGUAACACUUGAUUGAGAUAUUGAAGCAGUGUAAGUGAGGCUCAGAGAACUAGCAAGAUGACUAAGGACAGACUUGCAGCGCUGAGAGCGGCGCAGAGCGACGAGGAUGACGUGGGGCCAGAUGACGUUGCCGUCAACGUUGACGGCAACGUUGGCUACAUGGACGACUUCUUCAAUGAGGUGAGCGUGGAUGAAGAAUAAGGAUGGUAUGUACAGUACAGGACCAGCCACGUACAGUACAGGACCAUCCAUGUACAGUACAGGACCAGUCACGUACAGUACAGGACCAG